UAAAGAGUACAUUAUAAGAUUAAUUGGGAGAGCCAAAAUAAGCACUGAUAAGACUUUUGAAUCUCAAGAGUUAAUAAUGUUAAAGGAAUGUGAUUCUAAGUUAUAACAUCCCGAGGGAGAGGUGACUACAAAUUAGUAAAUAUAAGAUUUAGCAAUGAAUAUAAACUUCCAAUUAUGAACCAGAAUCAUGCUAGUAAAUAUUACCUCCUCAUCCCUGUGCAUGAAAUUCAUUGCGCCGUCUAUGUGAUUGUUGUGAUGAGGGCACUUGGGAGCAUUAGCUGGAAGCAGCAAAUAGUUUGGUCCAAGACGGUGCCUCUGGGUGUCACCAUAGGCAAAUAUACGACCCUGGAGAAACUUAUCAUCCGAAUAGUACACACCGGGAACAACAAAAGCAGGAUUAAAGGCAAGCAUUUCAUUUUCAGCGAAGAAGUUAUCGAUGUUCUUGUUCAACACCAAUCGCCCCACUGGCUGCAGAGGGAAAAUGUCCUCAGGCCAGGUCUUUGUGACAUCAAGGGGAUCAAAAUCGAGCCUGUCUUCUUGAUCUGGGUCCAUGGUCUGAAUGAAUAGCUUCCACUCGGGAUAAUUUCCUGCUGCAAUCGAGUCAUACAGAUCUUGAGUGGCAUGGCUGUGAUUAGUACCUCCUACUCUGAUGGCUUCUUCCUCUAAUAAGUUCUUCACUCCACAAGUAGGCCUCCAGUGAAACUUAACAUAGGUUGCUUUGCCAGCCUUGUUAAGAAGAGUAAAAGUGUGAACUCCAGAGCCAUCCAUGUGCCUGUAAUCUUGUGGAACACCAAUGUCAUCAUAGAAGAAAGCAAAUGUGUGCAGACUCUCUGGGUGGUGGGACAAGAAGUCCAUAAUUCUCCAGUUUUCCUGAAUGUGGGACUUGGGAUUGGGCUUAAAUGCAUGGAUCACGUCGGGGAACUUCAUUGCGUCACGCACAAAGAAGACAGGAA
rnacentral:lncRNA from 1 species